UGGGGAAUAUUGGACAAUGGGCGCAAGCCUGAUCCAGCCAUACCGCGUGGGUGAAGAAGGCCUUCGGGUUGUAAAGCCCUUUUGUUGGGAAAGAAAUCCAGCUGGUUAAUACCCGGUUGGGAUGACGGUACCCAAAGAAUAAGCACCGGCUAACUUCGUGCCAGCAGCCGCGGUAAUACGAAGGGUGCAAGCGUUACUCGGAAUUACUGGGCGUAAAGCGUGCGUAGGUGGUCGUUUAAGUCUGUUGUGAAAGCCCUGGGCUCAACCUGGGAACUGCAGUGGAAACUGGACGACUAGAGUGUGGUAGAGGGUAGCGGAAUUCCUGGUGUAGCAGUGAAAUGCGUAGAGAUCAGGAGGAACAUCCAUGGCGAAGGCAGCUACCUGGACCAACACUGACACUGAGGCACGAAAGCGUGGGGAGCAAACAGGAUUAGAUACCCUGGUAGUCCACGCCCUAAACGAUGCGAACUGGAUGUUGGGUGCAA
rnacentral:rRNA from 1 species